GUGGGGAAUAUUGCACAAUGGGCGAAAGCCUGAUGCAGCAACGCCGCGUGAGGGACGACGGCCUUCGGGUUGUAAACCUCUUUUAGUAGGGAAGAAGCGAAAGUGACGGUACCUGCAGAAAAAGCACCGGCUAACUACGUGCCAGCAGCCGCGGUAAUACGUAGGGUGCAAGCGUUAUCCGGAAUUAUUGGGCGUAAAGAGCUCGUAGGCGGUCUGUCGCGUCUGCUGUGAAAACUGGAGGCUCAACCUCCAGCCUGCAGUGGGUACGGGCAGACUAGAGUGCGGUAGGGGAGAUUGGAAUUCCUGGUGUAGCGGUGGAAUGCGCAGAUAUCAGGAGGAACACCGAUGGCGAAGGCAGAUCUCUGUGCCGUAACUGACGCUGAGGAGCGAAAGCGUGGGGAGCGAACAGGAUUAGAAACCCGAGUAGUCC
rnacentral:rRNA from 1 species